UACGUAGGGGGCAAGCGUUAUCCGGAUUUACUGGGUGUAAAGGGAGCGUAGACGGCAUGGCAAGUCAGAAGUGAAAGCCCGGGGCUCAACCCCGUGGACUGCUUUUGAAACUGCUAGGCUAGAGUGCAGGAGAGGUAAGUGGAAUUCCUAGUGUAGCGGUGAAAUGCGUAGAUAUUAGGAGGAACACCAGUGGCGAAGGCGGCUUACUGGACUGUAACUGACGUUGAGGCUCGAAAGCGUGGGGAGCACACAGG
rnacentral:rRNA from 1 species